UACGGAGGGAGCUAGCGUUGUUCGGAAUUACUGGGCGUAAAGCGCGCGUAGGCGGCUCUGUAAGUUAGAGGUGAAAGCCCGGGGCUCAACCCCGGAAUUGCCUUUAAGACUGCAUCGCUUGAAUCCGGGAGAGGUGAGUGGAAUUCCGAGUGUAGAGGUGAAAUUCGUAGAUAUUCGGAAGAACACCAGUGGCGAAGGCGGCUCACUGGACCGGCAUUGACGCUGAGGUGCGAAAGCGUGGGGAGCAAACAGG
rnacentral:rRNA from 1 species